rnacentral:rRNA from 1 species
CAGGACGAACGCUGGCGGCGUGCCUAAUACAUGCAAGUCGAACGCACUGACGUCGACAGAAGGUGCUUGCACUGGAAGUUGAUUGACGUGAGUGGCGGACGGGUGAGUAACACGUGGGUAACCUGCCCUUAAGCGGGGGAUAACAUUUGGAAACAGAUGCUAAUACCGCAUAAAAGUUGAGAUCACAUGGUCUUAAUUUGAAAGACGGCCUUUGGCUGUCACUUAAGGAUGGACCCGCGGCGUAUUAGCUAGUUGGUGAGAUAAUAGCCCACCAAGGCGAUGAUACGUAGCCGACCUGAGAGGGUAAUCGGCCACAUUGGGACUGAGACACGGCCCAAACUCCUACGGGAGGCAGCAGUAGGGAAUCUUCCACAAUGGACGAAAGUCUGAUGGAGCAACGCCGCGUGAGUGAAGAAGGUUUUCGGAUCGUAAAACUCUGUUGUUGGAGAAGAACAGGGACUAGAGUAACUGUUAGUCCUUUGACGGUAUCCAACCAGAAAGCCACGGCUAACUACGUGCCAGCAGCCGCGGUAAUACGUAGGCGGCAAGCGUUGUCCGGAUUUAUUGGGCGUAAAGCGAGCGCAGGCGGUUUCUUAAGUCUGAUGUGAAAGCCUUCGGCUUAACCGAAGAAGUGCAUCAGAUACUGGGAAACUUGAGUGCAGAAGAGGAAAGUGGAACUCCAUGUGUAGCGGUGAAAUGCGUAGAUAUAUGGAAGAACACCAGUGGCGAAGGCGGCUUUCUGGUCUGUAACUGACGCUGAGGCUCGAAAGUAUGGGGAGCGAACAGGAUUAGAUACCCUGGUAGUCCAUACCGUAAACGAUGAAUGCUAAGUGUUGGAGGGUUUCCGCCCUUCAGUGCUGCAGCUAACGCAUUAAGCAUUCCGCCUGGGGAGUACGACCGCAAGGUUGAAACUCAAAGGAAUUGACGGGGGCCCGCACAAGCGGUGGAGCAUGUGGUUUAAUUCGAAGCUACGCGAAGAACCUUACCAGGUCUUGACAUCUAGCGCCAAUCCUAGAGAUAGGACGUUCCCUUCGGGGACGCUAAGACAGGUGGUGCAUGGUUGUCGUCAGCUCGUGUCGUGAGAUGUUGGGUUAAGUCCCGCAACGAGCGCAACCCUUAUGAUUAGUUGCCAGCAUUUAGUUGGGCACUCUAAUCAGACUGCCGGUGACAAACC